rnacentral:rRNA from 1 species
ACAGCGGAGGGAUCAUUACCGAGUUUACAACUCCCAAACCCAAUGUGAACGUUACCAAACUGUUGCCUCGGCGGGAUCUCUGCCCCGGGUGCGUCGCAGCCCCGGACCAAGGCGCCCGCCGGAGGACCAACCUAAAACUCUUAUUGUAUACCCCCUCGCGGGUUUUUUUUAUAAUCUGAGCCUUCUCGGCGCCUCUCGUAGGCGUUUCGAAAAUGAAUCAAAACUUUCAACAACGGAUCUCUUGGUUCUGGCAUCGAUGAAGAACGCAGCGAAAUGCGAUAAGUAAUGUGAAUUGCAGAAUUCAGUGAAUCAUCGAAUCUUUGAACGCACAUUGCGCCCGCCAGUAUUCUGGCGGGCAUGCCUGUCCGAGCGUCAUUUCAACCCUCGAACCCCUCCGGGGGGUCGGCGUUGGGGAUCGGCCCUCCCUUAGCGGGUGGCCGUCUCCGAAAUACAGUGGCGGUCUCGCCGCAGCCUCUCCUGCGCAGUAGUUUGCACACUCGCAUCGGGAGCGCGGCGCGUCCACAGCCGUUAAACACCCAACUUCUGAAAUGUUGACCUCGGAUCAGGUAGGAAUACCCGCUGAACUUAAGCAUAU